rnacentral:rRNA from 1 species
GUGGGGAAUCUUGCGCAAUGGGCGAAAGCCUGACGCAGCCAUGCCGCGUGAAUGAUGAAGGUCUUAGGAUUGUAAAAUUCUUUCACCGGGGACGAUAAUGACGGUACCCGGAGAAGAAGCCCCGGCUAACUUCGUGCCAGCAGCCGCGGUAAUACGAAGGGGGCUAGCGUUGCUCGGAAUUACUGGGCGUAAAGGGAGCGUAGGCGGAUAGUUCAGUCAGAGGUGAAAGCCCAGGGCUCAACCUUGGAAUUGCCUUUGAUACUGGCUGUCUUGAGUAUGGGAGAGGUUAGCGGAACUCCGAGUGUAGAGGUGAAAUUCGUAGAUAUUCGGAAGAACACCAGUGGCGAAGGCGGCUAACUGGCCCAUUACUGACGCUGAGGCUCGAAAGCGUGGGGAGCAAACAGGAUUAGAUACCCCGGUAGUCC